rnacentral:lncRNA from 1 species
AAGGAGGUGAAUGUUGGCUUUAUGCCUGCAGACACAACAUCCAUUCUGCAGCCGAUGGGUCAGGAUUAAUUUUGACUUUCGAGCCUUAUUAUUUAAGAAAUAUAUUUCAUGAGGCUACAUCUGCCAUAGAGAGUGAUUCCUCUGAUGGACCUGGACAUAGUAAAUUGAAAAUCUUAUGGGAAGGAUUCACCAUUCCAGUUGCCAUUAAGUACAUUAGUGAUUCAUGGCAGGAGGUCAGAAUGUCAACAUUAACAAGAAUUUGGAAUACAUUGAUUGCAACCCUACCCAAAUGGAUGAGGAGUUGCUUCUUAGGGCUGAGCAAAGCAGGUGGUUUCUUGAGAUAAAAUCAACUCCUGGUGAAGAUGCUGUGAACAUUGUUGAAAUGACAACAUAGGAUUUAGAAUAUUCCAUAAACCUAGGUGAUAAAGCAGUGACUUCCUUGUCUUAUUUUAAGAAAUUUCCACAGCCACCCCAGGCUCCAGCAACCACCACUCAGAUCAGUCAGCAGCCAUCGGCAUCAAGGCAAGACCCUCCGCCAGCAAAAAGAUUAGGACGCCCUGAAGGCUCGGUUGAUCGUUCUCAUUUUUUAGCAAUAAAAUAUUUUUAAAUUAAGGUAUAUACAUUGAUUUUUAGACAUAACACUAUUGCACAUUUAAUAUUCCAUAACUUUUUGUCAAAUAUUUAUGUAUUUAUUUAAACACCUACUCAACAAUUGAUUUUUGCGCCUCUCGCGCAGACAUGAAGGAAGCAAUAUUGCAUUUCUCUAAAACAGAAAAAAAAAAGUUCUGCAACUCAGACCUUAGCGACAAGUGCAGUGACCAGGCAUGGCUGCAUUUGAAGACACUCCAGCAAAAACGCAUGCAUUUUCCACUGGGCAAGGAGGGGAAGCAUUGGGGGCAUGCGUGAGCUUCCCUCUGCCUUAUCAGACACUCCCUGCUUGGGGCCCAGCUGGAAAUGGGUUGAAGCCUUUUCAGCAAAACAGCUCGUCGUUCACCUCAAAUGAGUGAUAUGGUCAUUAA